rnacentral:lncRNA from 1 species
GGAUAGUAUCACUGGGAGGUGGUAAGAUUCUGUACCCUAGAAUUCUCUCACCAAUGAAUAGGCUCUGCUCAGCCCUUUGAAUUGAGUCAUUACAAAGACCCUGGCUUUUGGGCUUUUAGUCUUUUAGGAUGGCUGCUUGUCACAAUGUUGCCUUCCUUGUUUUAGGCAAA